GCGCACGCACACGCGCCGCACGUCUCGCACUCUCGCCACCCGCCGACGACACCGCGCAGGCCACGGAUGGAGGUGACACUCUUGAGCCAGCCGGCGGGACGCGCGGUGACCGCGUCGACAAACAGUUGGUAGAACGGCUGGACUCCGCGUUGCGUUUGGCUGGUGACGUCUCGCCAGCACCGCAAGACCACGCUCGCGCUCUUAAUCUGCUCACUACUGUGCUGCGCGGGUGCACGGGCGCGGUGGUGCGCGGGUCGGGCGGCGCGGGCGGCGCGGCGUCGUG